rnacentral:rRNA from 1 species
CCUACGUGCGUCAGCAGUGAGGACUAUUGGUCCAUGGACGAGAGUCUGAACCAGCCAAGUAGCGUGAAGGAUGACUGCCCUAUGGGUUGUAAACUUCUUUUAUAAAGGAAUAAAACGAGGCACGUGUGCCUUUUUGCAUGUACUUUAUGAAUAAGGAUCGGCGAACUCCGUGCCAGCAGCCGCGGUAAUACGGAGGAUCCGAGCGUUAGCCGGAUUUAUUGGGUUUAACGGGAGCGUAGAUGGGUUGUUAAGUCAGUUGUGAAAGUUUGCGGCUCAACCGUAAAAUGGCAAUUGAUACUGGCAGUCUUGAGUACAGUUGAGGUAGGCGGAAUUCGUGGUGUAGCGGUGAAAUGCUUAGAUAUCACGAAGAACCCCGAUUGCGAAGGCAGCUGACUAAACUGUGACUGACAUUGAUGCUCGAAAGUGUGGGUAUCAAACAGGAUUAGAUACCCCUGUAGUC